ACGAGCGCUGGCGGCGUGCUUUAACACAUGCAAGUCGAACGCGAACGAUUUUCUUCGGAGAAUUCAGUAGAGUGGCGCACGGGUGAGUAACGCGUAAAUAAUCUACCCUCGCAUCUGGGAUAACCCACCGAAAGGUGUGCUAAUACCGGAUACGUUUUUACUGUUGCGAGACAGUGAGAAGAAAGGUGGCCUCUGAUAUAAGCUACUGUGCGGGGAGGAGUUUGCGUACCAUUAGCUAGUUGGUAGGGUAAUGGCCUACCAAGGCGACGAUGGUUAGCGGGUCUGAGAGGAUGAUCCGCCACACUGGAACUGGAACACGGACCAGACUCCUACGGGAGGCAGCAGUGAGGAAUAUUGCGCAAUGGGGGAAACCCUGACGCAGCGACGCCGCGUGGAUGAUGAAGGCCUUCGGGUCGUAAGAUCCUGUCAGAUGGAAAGAAGUACAUAUUCAUUAAUACUGGAUAUGUUUGACGGUACCAUCAAAGGAAGCACCGGCUAACUCCGUGCCAGCAGCCGCGGUAAUACGGAGGGUGCAAGCGUUAUUCGGAAUUACUGGGCGUAAAGCGCGCGUAGGUGGUUUGUUAAGUCAGAUGUGAAAGUCCACGGCUCAACCGUGGAAGUGCAUUUGAAACUGGCGGACUUGAGUACUGGAGGGGGUAGUGGAAUUCCCGGUGUAGAGGUGAAAUUCGUAGAUAUCGGGAGGAAUACCGGUGGCGAAGGCGACCACCUGGCCAGAUACUGACACUGAGGUGCGAAAGCGUAGGGAGCAAACAGGAUUAGAUACCCUGGUAGUCCACGCCGUAAACGAUGUCAACUAGGUGUUGGGAUGGUUAAUCGUCUCAUUGCCGCAGCUAACGCAUUAAGUUGACCGCCUGGGGAGUACGGUCGCAAGAUUAAAACUCAAAGGAAUUGACGG
rnacentral:rRNA from 1 species